UGGGGAAUUUUGGACAAUGGGGGAAACCCUGAUCCAGCCAUCCCGCGUGUGCGAUGAAGGCCUUCGGGUUGUAAAGCACUUUUGGCAGGAAAGAAACGUCAUGGGUUAAUACCCCGUGAAACUGACGGUACCUGCAGAAUAAGCACCGGCUAACUACGUGCCAGCAGCCGCGGUAAUACGUAGGGUGCAAGCGUUAAUCGGAAUUACUGGGCGUAAAGCGUGCGCAGGCGGUUCGGAAAGAAAGAUGUGAAAUCCCAGAGCUCAACUUUGGAACUGCAUUUUUAACUACCGGGCUAGAGUGUGGCAGAGGGAGGUGGAAUUCCGCGUGUAGCAGUGAAAUGCGUAGAUAUGCGGAGGAACACCGAUGGCGAAGGCAGCCUCCUGGGAUAACACUGACGCUCAUGCACGAGAGCGUGGGGAGCAAACAGG
rnacentral:rRNA from 1 species